GCCUUCUUAAUAUCUGUGUCGUCCGUGCUACGUUUGUUACGUGUUGUGCCGUGUUCCCGUUUCUCAAAGACUUGAAGUCCAAAAUCUUUUCUUCUUCCAGAGCGUUCAACCUGUCCUUGAAAUCCUUCAAGGAGGCAAAGUUCUUUGCGACCACGGCCAAAAGAACAGCGACAACCACAAAUAAUACAAGCAAAAGUACUUUCAUGACAAAGUACGAACGAUGCUUGCUUGUUUCGUG